CGAGCGAGAUGCGCGACGAGAAUGCGCAACGGUCAGUUGCAGCCUCGUGGCUAUCGCGCGCGGAUCUUCUCGUAUUUCCGCGGACGACGCGAAGCCUCCUGGUGCCGUCACCAGCAACAGGCCCGACGGUUCUGCCGAUAUAACAGCGACCCAGGGUUUCUGUUGGGCCGCAUUGGCGCUAUUUCCGCGAGUGAUGCUCUAUCUAUCAGUACCGAGGAGCCACCACUGGCUCCGGCGCUGACGGGUGAGGUUAGGAACCCCAGGCAUACCGGAUAACAGGAAAUAUAAUCCAAUGUUGUUGAUUCCCCGAUGCAUUUAUCACAAAUGCAUUGGAGAAUCAACGGCUCGAAAUUAUGUGUUGUAAUCACGUGUCGUUAGAAUAACAACACGUCGCACUGAAAAAUUCAGAUACGAGUAUCUGAAAAAACUUAAGAAAACGUUAACGCUCAAUACAUAUUAUUUGUAUAGUAUAUUACAUUAUAUAUUAUUAUAGUAUAUUACAUACGCAAAACUAUUUAUUGGUAUGUUUAUCCUAGAAUGUUUCUAGUGACAUUGUUGGUUUUAUGCACAUUGAUAAAGGAGUGAAACGGUGUGCAAUUAGAGUACUAUGUGAGAGUAUAGUGUAAAUAGACGUAGGUGUGGCAAGCGAUACUAGAGUGAAAGAAAGAGAGAGAGAGCGUGUGUACUGCGUAUCUCUCCCUGCAGAAGAAUCCUUCGGGGGAGCAUGCGUACAGAGCGGAAGAAAUGGGAAGCUUUCCCGCAGACAGGGCCCGCCACGGACGUAACGGCCAGUUGGUGAAAAGCGUCCUGAACUACGCAGCGUCUUGAGUGAUCAUAUACUUGUAUUGUAAUUGAAACCAGCCUAUCUUCAGUUGUUCAACUGAUUUCUAUGUGUGUAUAAACGUAUGUUAUCCGAAAACAGGAAGAUGACUCAGAUAAAGCUGCUACGUAAGAAAUUAAGGAAAGCCAUCUAAUUCUACUAAUAGCAGAUUUGUUUUCAGGAAAAUAGCUGGUUUUACAAACAGUUCUUGUCAAUAUGAAAUUAGAGAAGAUAUUAUAGUUUAUUCAAAGAACUAUAUAUUAAAAAUCGAUUCUCCGCGAAACAAAAGAAUGUUUUGCUCCAAACAAAAGAAAACAUUGCAUAUAUAUAUAUAUAUAUAUAUAUAUAUAUAUAUAUAUAUACACUAGAAUUUAAAAGUGCAGUAUGCAAAAUCACAAAUUAAAAAUUGUAAUUAUUUUUAUUUAAAUAAAUUAUAAGUGUAUUUUGAAAUUAAUAAA